GACAGAGGGUGCAAACGUUGCUCGGAAUUACUGGGCGUAAAGCGCGUGUAGGCUGACCGGAAAGUCGGGCGUGAAAGCCCUGGGCUCAACCCAGGAACUGCACUCGAAACUCCCGGUCUAGAGUGGUGGAGAGGGAAGUGGAAUUCCUGGUGUAGAGGUGAAAUUCGUAGAUAUCAGGAGGAACACCAGUGGCGAAGGCGACUUCCUGGACACCAACUGACGCUGAGACGCGAAAGCGUGGGGAGCAAACAGG
rnacentral:rRNA from 1 species